UAGAGUUUGAUCCUGGCUCAGAUUGAACGCUGGCGGCAGGCCUAACACAUGCAAGUCGAGCGCGAAAACACCUCGGUGUGAGUAGAGCGGCGGACGGGUGAGUAAUGCUUGGGAAUCUACCUAGUAGUGGGGGAUAACGUGUGGAAACGCACGCUAAUACCGCGUACGUCCUACGGGAGAAAGCAGGGGACCUUCGGGCCUUGCGCUAUUAGAUGAGCCCAAGUCGGAUUAGCUAGUUGGUAGGGUAAUGGCUUACCAAGGCGACGAUCCGUAGCUGGUCUGAGAGGAUGAUCAGCCACACUGGGACUGAGACACGGCCCAGACUCCUACGGGAGGCAGCAGUGGGGAAUAUUGCACAAUGGGCGAAAGCCUGAUGCAGCCAUGCCGCGUGUGUGAAGAAGGCUCUAGGGUUGUAAAGCACUUUCAGUAGGGAGGAAAAGUAUGUAGUUAAUAACUGCAUACCCUGACGUUACCUACAGAAGAAGCACCGGCAAACUCCGUGCCAGCAGCCGCGGUAAUACGGAGGGUGCGAGCGUUAAUCGGAAUCACUGGGCGUAAAGCGCGCGUAGGUGGUUUGAUAAGCUAACUGUGAAAGCCCCGGGCUCAACCUGGGAACUGCAGUUAGAACUGUCUGGCUAGUGUACUGUAGAGGGGGGUAGAAUUUCA
rnacentral:rRNA from 1 species